GUUUGUAUCUAUAUUGUGUCAUUGGUCAAAUUUAUUUGUUGGAUGUGUGUUCACUUGUUUAUUGUAUUAUGUCUUUUGAUUGAGUUAAGGCCUUUGAAUUGAUAUUUUAUAGUGUGUCCUUCUAUUUUGUACUGUAACACGACUAUUGUUUUGUUUGGUAAGGGUAAAGGUUCAAAUCCGUUGCAUGUUUGCCCCUGUCUUAAUACUUAUCAAAGGUACAAGGCUUAUAAUUUAAUACGCUAGACGCCCGUUUCGUCUUCAUAAGACUCGUCAGUGAUGCUCAGAUCAAAAUAGUUAUAAAGCCAAACAAGUAUUAAGUUGAAGAGCAUUGGGGACCCAAAAUUCUAAAAUGUUGUGCCAACAACAGCUAAGUCAGGAACCUGAUGUUUAGUGAUAGUCGUUUGUUGAUGUGUUUCCGAAGUAUUUCUCGUUUCUCGAUGAUUUUUAUACGGAUUCGACCGUUGGUAUUCCCAUUUCAAAGAUUUUACAAUAGUAAUUUUUGAGACAAUUUACAGCUUGCUGUUCGGUGUGAGGUCCGUGCUGAGAAUCGUUCUAUAACCUAUUAUUGGUAAACUUUCACAAAUUGUGACUUGGAGAGAGAGACCUGUCCAGUGUUCUUUCAUACCAUAGCUUCUUAUUUCUAUCAUAACAAAAUCCAUUAAGAGAUUAUUACAAUGAUAAAUAACGAGAGAAUAAAAUAUCAAAAAGCAUAGUUUAUUGAUGUUGUUUUUUUAAACACGCAGUUUAAUGAGGUAUCAAAUGUAAUAAUACUUAAU
rnacentral:lncRNA from 1 species